CCCCACUCACUCUCUCUCUCUCUCUCUCUCUCUCUCUCUCUCUCUCUAGAGCUCGGAGAGCAACAACAAUGGCGGAUUGGGCGCCGGUGGUGGUGGGGGUGGUGCUCUUCGUGCUCCUCUCGCCGGGCCUCCUCAUCGAGUUCCCCGGCUCCCGCCGCCCCCUCGACUUCGGCGGCUUCCGCACCAACGGUAAGGCCGUCUUCUUCCACACCCUCAUCUUCUUCGCCCUCUUCUCCAUCCUCAUCGUCGCCCUCCACCUCCACAUCUACACCGGCUAGGGUUAGGGUUUCUCUUCCCCCCGGGGAGCGAUCGCCGUGGGUUUAGGGUUUCGAGGUGGGAGAUCUCUCUCUCUCUCUCUCUCUCUCUCUCUGGGUUGUUGUGAUGUUGUUGUUUAUGUGAUUUUUGUGGCAUUUAAUCUAAAAAUAGUAAUUAAAGAGACGAGACUCGUUUUGUGAUGAUGCUGUGAAAUAUCAUCUUAUGCAUCUAAUUUUCAAAUUUUAGCUUUUUAUUUGAAUUUUGAAUUUGAUGUUUGUGGUUUAUUAGGUAAUAGAAUUUAAAUUAGUUAUAGCAUAUUAUAAAUAGCUUAUAAAUACUUCUCUAAUAUUUAACUGUGAAUAUAUUAUGUGACAUAUAUUUUAAAAUUGGAUUAAUUUCAUAUGAGUCCCUGCAAAUAUAGUGAAUAAUAAAUAUAUUCCUAAUAAGUUCAACUUUCAUAUGUUGUCCUUAAUAUUUUCAAAUAUAUUCCUGGCGCCGUUAGAAUCUGUUAGAAAAAUUUAGUUAAUCAUAGGUUAAAUACUUAAUCCUGAUUAAUUUUUGACAUUUUUAUUUCUUUUAUAUUAUACUGUUAUGAUAUUUGAAGAGAUAUAUUUAUGACGGCAAAAUUGAAAAUAUAAAUAGUUCUUUAACGGUUCUCUAACGAUAACAAAUCAGAGGGACGUAUUUGAAAAUAUCAAAAUUUUUUUAGGAACAAUAUAUAAAAGUUAAAUUUUGUAAGGAUAAUAUAUUUGUAGUGACCUUUAUGAAAUUAACCCUUUAAAAUUUGUAAGGAUAACUGCAUACAACUUUCUGUAAACAUAUCGAAUAACAAAUAUAUUUUUAUAAAGUUUAAUUUGUUAUUUAUAUUCCUGUAAGAGUACAGUGAUAUUCAUAUUUAUCCCUUUGGUUUGUUACUAUUAAAGUAUUUUUUUUUACAGCAGAUAUAUAAAAUGAUAUUUUUGUCUUUAUAAAUAUAUCACUCCAAAAGCUCCCACUGUUAAAAAUAUUUAGAAUUAUACAAAAAUGUCCUCUCAAAUAAGUAUUUUAUCCAAUAACAUAAGAGGGAUAAAAAAAUUAAUUUAACUUAUUUAUUAAUCAGUGUUAAGUUUUUUUUACUUAUGAUUAACUAUAUUUUUCUAACGAAUCUUAAUCGUAGGGAUAUAUUUGAAAACGUUGGAACUUUUUAGAGAUAAAAAUAAAAAAGUUGAACUUUUUAGUGAUAUAUUUUCUAUUUGAUAUGUUUACAGGAAGCUAUAUGCAAUUAAGGUUUAGUUUGGUAUUGAGACCCAUCUGAUACUAUUAGACAAAAUUGAGUUCGGAUAAAAGCAUAUAGGAAUAUGUUUUUGCAUUCUUUGGUGGGAUCGCAGAAAAUAUAUCGUAAUUGACUCAUCGCGAUAUGCGGAACGUAAAAUUACUUACGAAAAUAAAUAUAAUAUUUUUUUAUCGUACUUUUUGACUGUGCGUAAAGCAAUGGUAGGAUUUUUGUGGUUGUCCUUUGUUGAAAUGUCCAUAUGAACUUUAUAAUUGUGUGGUUUAGCCUGUUUAGUCAUGGAUCAAUGAUAGCAUGCUCUUUCUCAUUAAUUCUCAAAAUUUGACCUGUGACAAGUACAUUGAGUAUUAGUUCAUUUUUGUAUAAGAUUUUCAAUAAUACAGAAAAUUAGGAGUUUAAUUUUCUUUUCUCUUUAAAAGUUGGUGUCAUCUAUAAUUUGAUAGAAUGGUAUAUUUCUUAUUUUAUUUUAAAAAUAAUAAUAAUUUGAAGGUUGAACAUAAUAUCCAUUCUGAAUACUUAAUCCUACAUCUCACUUUUAAAAAUAUUUUUUUUUAGUUUUAAAUUUUUUUUAAAGAAAUUAUCAUCUAUCAUUUGGACAUGUGUAUUGCAAGCUAAUCAAUUAUUAUAGUAAGAGAGAUUUUUUUUUUAAUCAAUAUAUCAAAUUAUAUAUUAAUUAGUGUUUAAAAAAAUAAAAAAAAAUAUCAAUUGUGCCAAGCAAGUCCUUUUUUUUAUCUUAUUUAUGGCUGUUGAUAUAAUUCUAUUCCAUUUAUGUGAUUUAUUUAUCAACAUUUUGUGGCUUUGAGUUAUGUAAGCAUCUGAUUCCACAAAAUUGGGCCAGUUCCUGAAACAAAAGAUACUCGGGGUAUAUCUGCAAAUUGCAGUGAAUUUGAACAAAUAUUUGUAUUUCGUUAUCUAAAGUUUAAAAAAUUUUAAUUUAACAUCUAAACAAUCAAUAUGAAUUUCCGUGAAAUCCUCUAAACAGUGUUAACAAGUUGCAGAUGGUAGAUUUAAACUUUUCAAAUUUAUUUAUUUAUUUAUUUUUUUGAGAGAUAGAUAGCCCGUUACCUACUUGCUCUAGGAACGGUCGGUUUUUCAAAUUUCAAAUGAUGAAUUAUUUACGUGUGAAAAUUAGUUUCGAGGCUCUUGUUCCAGAAUCUAAUCGUAUAGUACGAUUAAAAUAUGCAUUACUCAUAAGUUCUUUGUGAAUCGUAACCGUUAACCAACUAUCUCAAAAGCACGUGCUGAUAGGAAUGACAUAUCCAUCAUACUUAAGGGCUCAGUCAUAGCGCUCGUGGGACCUUCACUCAACUUAUAUUAGGCUCACGUAAUUCAACUUAUUAGUUUUCUGAGCUUAUUGAUUUUGACCUAUUUCAAUCCAUCUGAAUGUUGGGUUUAUUAUUGGGCCUUUUGUUGUUAGGUCUUUUGUGGACUACACCUUCACUCAACUUAUUAGGCUCAUCCAACUCAACUUAUUAAUCUUCUAGGCCUAUUGUUACAGGGCAGGAUAUUGGACAUAUUUUAGCCCAAUAGCCAACAAUCCCUCCCAACACCUGCAUCGUUAAUGCAGCAUGUGGGAAUCGAACCCGCGCCAUCGAUUCUAAUACCACCUGUGGAUCGUAAGCAUUAACCAACUAUCUCGAAAGCACGUGCUGAUAAAAAGGUCGCACCCAUCGCAUUUAAAGGCUCAAUCACAGCGCUCGCGGGCUUCGGCCUGACUCAAUCCACCUAGACGUAGAGUCGAUUGUCGGGUUUCUUACCGUUAGGUCUUUUGUGGAUAACACAUCGAUUCAACUUAUUAGACUCAUCCAACUCAACUUAUUAAUCUCUCGGGCCUAUUGUCACGGGACAAGAUGUUGGACCUAUUUUUGUCCAAUAAUAAAUAGCCAACACUCUUCUGAGGGAUCAACACUAAGUUAGCUUCGGGAUCUGCUUUGGUGCCAUUAGAUAUAAUUUAAAGUAUUCAUAAGCAAAAGAAAUCGAGACAAUACAAAAUUCGAUGAUUUUUUAAACAAGAAGAUACAAAAGUAAUGUAGUUUCAUUUCAAAUUAAGAUUAUGAACACAAGAUUUGGUUUGAGUUCAAUUUGUAAUGCAACACUUACCAGAUGCAUCACUUGAAGAGAAGUUUACAACUAAAGGUCACCAAGGAUUAGAGGAAACUGAACAAUCUUAAGAUAUCAUCAGCCCGCGUGCACGUGAACGCCAAUCG
rnacentral:lncRNA from 1 species